GCACUGGUUGUCAUGAUACAUCCCUUGAUACAUCUCUAGAAUGGCUGAAUCUCAGUGGAGCUGCUGCUUUGGAAAAGCCUGGAAAGCAGCGUUGCAGCAGGAGCAGGCUGGUGCUGGCAACCCAUGCUAUGCCACCGAUGUCAUGCCUUUUCUCUGAAAGAUUCAUGAUUCCCAUGCUAUGCCAGACUGCAAGAAGAAAAUAUACCACAGCAACAUUGUGGCUAUAAGAGGCAACCAGCACAAGGCCCACAAAUGCAAUCUUUCUAAAAGUUGAAGUAACCCUCUCCAACAACACAGUUAAAUUUUUCCCCAAGAGGAAGCAAACACUGACCCAACAACCACAUGGCUACUAUGUUACU